GUAAAAUGUUUCUUUAAGGAGAGCCCAGGAGGCAGCAGGGACAAGGGAAAGAGAAGAAAGGGCUAUAAACAGUAUAUGAAUUUCAAUAAAUUAUAGAGAGAGACACAGCUCCAAAGAAGCUGAAAAUCUGCUCUAGCUGCACUAGGUGCAUUUGCAUGAGGAAGUGCCCUCCUAUCAUGCAUGAGCUGGGGCUGGAAAUUCCACUUUGGAUCAACAUCUUACUUCCUGGUCUUACUUGAACUGAAUUUGCAGGGCCUGGUCCAGGAGCUGAGCAGAAGACUGCUCAUGGAGGAACCUGACUACGAAGUGUCAGAUGAUGGUUAGAUCCUUAAGCUUCAAAAAGCUAUACUGAGGGAUAUGCCAAGUCAUAAUGCAUAUUACCUGGAACUUCCUGGAAACCAAGCAUUUUAUUCCUGUGGAAAUGUGUUUAGCCAAGUUUUAGAAGAAUGACAAAGUGAGAAAACCAAAUUUAUUUUUAUUGCUGUUGACUAUUACUUAAAAUAGGAAAAGGAGCUUAAUUCUUGGGCUUCUUUAUCACUAACUUAGUAUGUUCCAAGCACUGUUCUAGUUGCUUGAGAUACAAAAACAAAAAUUGCUGUCCUUCUGAAGUUAGUAAUCUGAUGCCUGUUACCAUUUCACCCUCUGCCCCUGCCAAGGAAACAAUCAAACUGGGAUUUAAAUCCUAGCACUACUAUAUGCUGUCUGUGACUGGGAAGUCAUUUAUCUUCUUUGAGCCUUUUACUAGUAAGAAGCCUGGUAAUCAUGUUGCCAUUUUAUCAUUUAUAUAAGCAUCUCAAGAAUAAUUUGUUAGCAGUUCAUUCUGCAAGAGGGAAUUUCCUUGUAACUUGCUUGGAUUUGUACUCAGAAGUGCCUUAUGCAAAAUAAGUUAAAGAAGUUUUGUCCCAGCAUUUACCCAUAUGUGUUCCCUAGUGUGUAUUUUUACAAUUGACCUGGCUUAACAUCAGCAACAAUUUGUAGUAUGACACCAAGACUACAUAGGUUUAUAUUUAUGGAAUUUAGUCUCAUACAUGUCAUCAGAGUUGAGGGGAAUGAUGAAGGAAAUGAAAAAGUCGAGCUCUCUUGGUAGGUAGCUGCUACCUUUUGGUAUAGUCUUCAUCUUUUCCUUUUGGGAACUGUGUCUACUUUACUCCAUCUGAUUCUGGUAGGGCUGAGAAUCACUCGGCCUUGCUUUUCUACCACUGGAUGGUCAUAUGUCCAUAGACCCAUGUCAGGCUGGUCAAUCAAAGCACUCCUCUUCCCUGGAUAUUAUGGUGGCACAUGACCCAAGCAGGGCCACUGUCAUUUUGAGAGAUGGAUAUAGGUCUCUCUGGAGGUAAAAAGGGUUAAUUUUUUUCUGGACUCUGAUUAAAAGGAUGAUAUAUGCUUAGUGUGGUAGGUGGUCAUCUUACCACCACACAGAGACAGUCUACCUAAGAAUAAGAAGAAAGCAAAGUCAAAGAGAAAGAGUGGAAAAUAAAGACCUAAUAACAUCAAUGCAUUUCUGAAUCCCUGUUGAAUUUACCAGUUAAAUAAACUACUAUGUUUUUUGUUUCUCUUGAGUCAGAUUGCUUGCAACUGAAAGCAUCUUGUAUAAUACAAUAUCCUUAUCUAUGAUUGUAGUCAUCGUUUGCAUUUGUCAAUAUUUUUGGUUCUCCUUCUCCAUACUGGUAGGAUUAUGUUUCCUUGGGAACUGACAUGGUCAUGUGACUGUUUCGGCAAACAAAAUAUAAGUGGUUUUUGUCACUUCUAGGUGGAAGCUUUUAAGUCUUAAGAGCUGUUGCAUAAUUCAUUAUAUUCCAUUUUCCCUGUCACAGUGACCAGUCAAGAUGAGAGAGAACAACAUGGAACAGAAUAUCCACCAACCUAGGAUGGACAUGUAACAUAAAUGAGAAACUGUUGUUUUCAGUCACUAAGAUUUUGAUGCUUUGUGUUUUUGCAGCCCCUCUGACUAAUACCUGUAUGGAAUACAUUGUUCUAUAUUAAAUUUUUCUAAACACUUCAGGUGAAAAAAUAUCUUAAUAUAACAUCUAAAAACAUGAAUGUCUACAGAAUUAGGUUAUUAAAAUAUUUAAUAUAUGUAGCUAUUCUUGUUCAGAAUUAAGAGUAGGCCAGAGGUAAGCAGCAGUAUUUCCUGGUUUACCAUACAGGAACUAAACCUGCUUUUAGGGCUGUGACCUCUGACCAAAUUAUAGUUUGCCUUGUUUCGUAUCAUGUGGCAGGACAAAGUCUAUAAUGACAGGUGUUUAAAACUCAGACACUAUGUAAGCACUCUAGCCUUGCCCAUAACAAUUCCUCUUAUGUGGGCAGGACAAUGAUGGCGUCUUCCGACCAGGCCUUGCUAUCUGAAAAUAGAGAAAUGUUUCAAGGACAGAUUAAACAAAAGCCUGAUUUGCAGCCAUGUAGUAUCAGUAUUGAGGCCUUGAAAUUAACAGCCCUUGUCAGAUAACCAUCAAGGAAGGUCCCUCUAGUCUUCAAAGUAAGUAUAUACUACAGACAGCAGUGAGCUCUGUGGGCAUGAACAUCCUCUUUAAGCCAUGUUAGAGUAUUACGGGCAAUGCCAUUUGUUCAUGCCACAUAAAACAUGUCAUCUUUUCUCCCACUUCUGCAAUCCUGGACUUCAAAGGCAAUGUAUUAAAUUUUUUUACUGAAAUUUUAUGGAAUAUUUUGCUAAAUAUUUGUAUAAUUAUUAUAAUCUUUGUAUUGGAUUCUCCAGCUUACAUGAAGGAUAGCAUAUUCUCAUGGGCAGAACAUACUAACCUGUCAUUUAACCUUUGGGUACUUUAAUUUCUCUGCCUCUAAAAGGAAAUAAACAUUUCUCUUCCUCUCCUACUUCUCCUUGAUUGUGCACAUAGGAAAAUGUGGUAUAUAAUGUAUUUGUCAGGACUAUUGAUUGAGAGUAAUAGAAACUGUCCGUAGGAAAAUAAAGAUUUGUUGGUUCAUGUAACUGGGAAGUGUAAGGGAUAAAUUUAAGGUAUGACUGGAUUCAGGGCAUCAAAUUAUUUCAUCGAGGUAAUCUCUCUUCACCACAUACCUCUGCUUUUUUCUAUGUUGGUUUCAUUUUUGUACAGGCCCUCCCUAUAAGGCAAUGAAAAAAACAGCCAUCUAUAACUCUAGUUGUACAUUUUAUCAGCUAAGCCACCCUAAUGGAAAGAUAUCUUUUUCUUCAGUAGUUCUAGCUGGAGAAUACAAAAGGAUGGUUCCCUGCAAGAAAAUAAGUUAUUAUCAGAAGAGGAAUUGAUGGGGCAGGCAAAAACAACAAAUGUUCAUUACAUAUAAAUUCAAAGUUGUAAAGUGUACAGCUAUGCUACAGGCACAGUUGUCUGUAGCAGACACAGCAGGUUGAAUACCCUAUAUCCAUUCUCUACUGCCAUUCCUAAAAACUCGGUUUUGUUCAGGUUGGUAGGUAUCCAUUUCCUCCAGGUAGCCGAAUACCUCAAGGGAAACUGACCAAGCCCUAUCCCAUGAAUCCUGAUUAGACCCAGCCAGUCAGAGGGUGCCAUCCCCUUGCCAGAGGUUGGCUUAGGCAUGAGCAUGUGAUCCACUUCAGGGCAGUGAAAUGAGAGGGGAAGCUUGGGAGUCUGGGAGGCUUCUGGGACAAUUUUCCUUGCACUUAAAAAGACACAGGGGAGGGUCUGUUUUUCUCAGGGCCUGUUGGGGAUGUAUGUGAUGAACCUUGACUGUGGCAGUCAUCGUGAUGCCAUAUUAGCCUGAGAGCAAUGCUGACACAAUCAGGAUGGCAUAGCACAAAGAUAGGGAAACUGCAUCUUUGAUAAAGUUCAGCCACUGAAGUAACCAACUGUGGUCCUUUUGUUAUGUAAGAUGAUAGUUUUCCUUAUUUAAGGCAUGUUCAGGUAGUUUUGUUUUUGUUUUUGUUUUUACCACUUGUGACUGAAAAAUAUCAUGACUAGUAAGUAGAGAUGUUGUGGGUUCCUCAGUCAUGAAAGAAGCUCUUAGAGGGCUAUAUAGUUCCACUAGACCUAGAACAGUGCCUUGUACAUAGUUGAAGCUCAGUUGUCUUUAUUUGUAUUUGUAAUUUAAGCACUAAAAAAUAAAACACCUUUCUUCUGUAGCAAUUCAGUAUAAAAGCCUUUAGAUGGGAUUAAACAAAAUAGAUGUCUUUGAGUGGGCAGCAAGGCCCAGUGUGGAAUUUUUUUUUUUUUUUUUUUUUUGAGACAGAGUCUCACUCUGUUGUCCAGGCUGGAGUGCAAUGGCAUGAUCUCGGUUCACUGCAACCUCUGGCUCCUGGGUUCAAGCAAUUCUCCUACUUCAGCCUCCCGAGUAGCUGGGAUUACAGGAACGCGUCACCACACUCAGCUAAUUUUUGUAUUUUUAGUAGCAAUGGGGUUUCGCCAUGUUGGCCAGGCUGGUCUGGAACCGCUAACCUCAAAGUGAUCUGCCCACCUUGGCCUCCCAAAGUGCUGGGAUUACAGGCAUGAGACCGCACCCGACCCCAGUGUGGAAUAUUGGUGCCCAAGUGGGUUAGGAGGGCAUCCGCAUGGGGGAGGUACCCUGGAGUUCGAUGUUAGAGCCUAAGCAGGGUGAGGGAGUUACUGCAGAGAGAAGGGAUUAGAGGGUGGCCCAAUGUGGGGUGUUAGAGCUGGAGGAAUGUAAGGAAGGCAUCAUCCACACAGAGGAACAUUAGCCCAGUGCAAGGGUCAAAGCCUGAGGUGGGUGAAGAAAAUACCUGCUUUAUACUGUUCUGGAAAUUCUUCUAUAAGUUUGUAAUCAUAUGUACCCAAAAUGUACCUGUAUUUCAUUUUGUAAACUGUCACAAAAUUAAUAUUUCCAAUGCCUCAUAUGUUUUUAAAAAAUAUGAAACUAUUAUUUAUUUGAAUAUAUUACAUGAAACUCCUCAAAGACAUCUCUGAUUAAAGCAACUUUGCCAUCACA